ACCAUUAAAUAAUACAGUCAGUCUACCUACAUUCUCAGCCUAUUUAAAGAAGCUGAAACAGACACAUCCCAAUGCUACUUUCGAAGAAAUAGAGCAAACACUUCUUCAUGUAUUUGCUCCUGAUACUAUUGCACCAGUAACAUCAGAAGAAACUGUCCAAUCAGGCAAUCCCUUUUUGGAUGAUUUCAGCCAAAGGCCCACAGAUUAAAGCAGCCCGAUAGUCUAGCCCGAUACAGUCC
rnacentral:lncRNA from 1 species